GGAAUUAAAGCUUUUUAUUUGUGUUUCAAGGAUCUCUGCUGGUGUGGAUACUUCUUUUUCUUGUAUAUUACAUUUUAUGUAUUAAUCAUGUCUUUAGAUCAAAAAUGACUGGUUGAAUGCCUGUGUUACACAGGGGUAAUCACAAGACGUUAGAUCCACUUGCAAGCUUUUAAUAAGAAACAUCGUGGUCGUACAGGCAGGGGUCAAUGACAGCAAACACAACAGGGAACAACAGGCAGAAUCGUGAUCGGUACACAGGCAGAAUGUCAGGGUAUCAAGCUGAGAAACACAGUCCAAAAAACAAGCAAUAUAGUCCAGUAGGCAGGCAGCAGUAAUCGUAAACUGGGGAACAGAUAAAAUAAGCAACAGGCAGACAAUAGAAAAUGCUCUGAAGUGUAAACCGUAGUAAAGCAAGACCUCGCAAUGAACACAAGAAAGCUGGCAGCUUAAAUACUAAAAUCAAAUGAGCUGCAGCUGGAGAGUAAACAGAGACCAAGGAUGGGGCUUGUGGGAAAUGUAGUGCAAUAGUCACUGUGUGUGUGUGUGUGUGUGUGUGAAGAGUGGCAGGUGCAGGGUGAAUGGGAAAUGGAGUUCAAUGGAUAUGUGAAGUCGAGUUUGGAGUGCCCUCUGGUGGCCAUGACAGGCACUCUCACUUGUGAUCAUGACAGCCUGUUAGUGAGCACCACAUUAUGUGCUUUAUCUAAUUUGAAUAUUGUUUAUUCUUUAAGCAGGGAAGGUCGGGUGUAAAAUAUUUACGCUUGUGCUAAACAUAAAAGUAAAAGUAAAACAUAAAUGUCAACAAAAGCAGCUCAGAUAAACUCAUGUAAAACCAGCAAUCUAAUCUUAUUUGACUAUUUUGAAUUAUCAUUCAGUUACAACAUAUAGCAAAAAUGGUUUAAAUCCUAUUUAUUUAUUUAUUUAUUUAUUUUUUAUCAGGCAUAGUGUAACUUCCCUGUUGUUGUUACUUGGGUUUAUUAAAAUGGAGCUGAUGAAAAAACACAAUUAAACAUUCAUUAUCUACAUUUAUUAUUGCAAAUGUUUACAAUUUGAUAUCCAUGAUAGUAAGAAAAAUUACAUUGACAUACCUUAAAAAAAAA
ensembl:lncRNA